UCCGUAGGCCCCUGGGACCAGGGUUGCCCUGCCGGUCGGGGCCCGCUCAGUGCCCUGGCGUCCCAGGCGCUUUUUGAUGCCAGCAGCGAGUGCAGCGCGCCGUAAGCAGGAUCGUGUAGCCUCCGCGGCGGCUGCUUUGCGUGCCCAGCUGGAUUUGUGCGGGGUUCCCGCCUCGCAGCCCGUCUCCAGUCCUGACCGGGAGUGUGCCGUGCGCCGCUUGGGUGAGACAAGGCAAAGUGGGAGGGCUUUGCGGCGCUGGGGCUGCCUGCGGGUGGGAAGCUGGCCGGGUGGUGCCCCUGGGGAGGUGCCCAUUUCCCACGGGUGCGGAGGGGGAGGCGCCAGUGAGGCCUAAGCCUGCCCUUGCUCGGCGGUUGCUGGAGCCGACAGCGGAAGAGGCACGACAGAGAAUGGCGAGGUAAAGGACGUUGAGAAGAGGCGGGCCGUCGGUCUGGAGAAGAGGAGACGGGCGAGGCGCUCUGGGCAAAGGGAGUCGCUCCUGACCGAAGGUGUGGUAAGUCGAGAGCUUUGCCGUCACCUCGAGUGUGGCCUGUGUGGCUUUGCGCUGGACAACCUCCACGUAAGUAGGACUCGGUCUUUGCUUGUGCCGUCGUUUGCCUUUUGGGCGGUUUGGUCCUUUGGCUGCCCGGAGCCCGGCUGCCCUGUAAGGAAGGCGCGAGGCGGUGUCUCCACGCCCGUUGGGGAAAGGGAUCAACCUGGUCCCCGAGCCCCCCCUGUAAGCGGGGUAGGGUCCUUUCCGCAGCCCCGGCAGCUUGUCAGCUGUGGGCUGCCUGUGCAGCGUGACCCCCUGUACUCGGGGCGUGUCGCGGCUUUUGUCCUUUGGCCGCCCCUGAGGGCCUUUGGUGUCCCGAGGCUUCCCUGAGCUCCACAGAGUCUGGUGCGGCCAAGUCUGACCCUCUUCUCUCCUGCUGCGGGGUAAGGAUGACUGUCCCAUCGGUGGCUGCCCAGAGCUUGCUCCCUCUCCUGGGAAGAGAUGUGCGUAUGGCCCCCUCCCUUGCCUCUGUGUGUGUGUGCUUGUGUGCCUGAGCGUGCUUGUGGUGUAGGUUGCUGUGAAAAGUGCUGUAGCUUAGCUUAGGCUUCCCAGGAGGGAAAGAGGGGCUCUGGGCAGUAACAGGGGAGUCUCCUCGGAGUGCCCGAGCGGAGUGGGAGCUCAGCUUGUCCUGCAGGGACAGAGCGUAGGCCCUGUUGUUGAGGGCCUGGGUGUGUGCCUCCGUGGCAGCCUGUCCUGUUGUCAAGGUGGCAUCUCAAGGGCCCUGUAGUCGGGGCCUGUGUGAUGAGCUGUGGAGCCUUGUGUCCCUGUGUGUCGCCAGCAGCGGCCCGAGGUCCCGGUGAGCAGGUCCUAGGAGGCUGUUUUGGGCAGCUGAGUGGAGCGCACGUUCCUGGGCCCUUAGAGGGUGGAGGUGGCUCCCUGGGCUCCUGAAGAGGUGUUGCUGUGCUGCAGGCAGGUGGGCCGUCCCGUAAGUUGGGCGCAGUCCGGAGCCCGCGGCUCCGUAGGCGUUUUUGGGAGUGCCGAGGCGAGAGCGGCCGCCCUGUAAGUGGGGCUGUGCGUCGCGGUGCCCGGCGGGAGGUUGGAGGGAACCCCCCUGUAAUCAGGGUGGGUAUGUCUGGCCCCAGGCUUUCAGAGGCAUGGCGUCAGGUUUGUUUAUCUCAGCGUGUACUCCUCGGCCCCAGGCUUAGUGUUGGUGGAGUCUCCCGCCAUGACCCAGGUCUUUGGCUGCGAAAGCCCGCUGCCUGGCUCCUGAGUCUGCUUCCUGUAGCUGCGGGACCAGUUUGAGGUCUCCAUGACCCCUUCUCAGACGCAGGUCUUGUGUAGCCCCAAACUGUUCCACGAACCCAGAAUAUUUGACAGAAGCUUUUCAUGAAAAUGGUUUGUAAAGAUGGGAAGAGACCUCUCAUUGAGGAUGUUGACUUCCAGUCCUUGGACUUGGCAUUGAAUUGAGACGUGGUCUUGAACUCUCUUCUUCUUGGAGUUUGGGAAUGGUCGGACCCAUGAUCUUGAUGAUUUUUUGUUUCAAAUUGAGGUGAUUCGAAAUGGCUAUGACAUAAAGCUAAAGCUCUGCUGUACCCUGAGGAUACAUAGUACCCGUGCUGCCCUUAGCAUUAGUUGUAUCCUUUUUAUUGAGUACGUCCAUUGGUGAAAUGACCACAGGAGAUGCGGAGUUCUCAUCUCACUGAAGAUCUUAGAAAAGUUGUGUUUUGCUGCCCACCAUGCGUGUCUCUGCUACGAAUGUGCAAGCGGGAGGAGUGGCUGAUACUUCUUGAAGCUGUGCUACUCUUCAGGCCCAUUUUAGCAGGUUGGGGAGCUGCAGAGAGGACACCUGAGGAAGGUCAGCAAAGGUAAGUGUGGAGUCCUGCAUGUGGGGAGAAAGAAGUAUUAGAUGUUGUAUCUUUCAUCCCGCUGUGUUCUAAAAUCUCUUAAGAACAAGUAUUGGCUUGGUAGAGUGCAUCUAUUUCGUCUAUUAUAUAUAAAGGCUUCUAGACUAUAACCUCAAAUAGAGCUGCAUGAGGUUUUCUAUAUACACAACUCAUAUUUUGAAAACAGUGAAUUUUCCAUUGUGUGUGUUUGUAGCAGACAUAAUGAGAUGGGUGAAGGAAGAGAAUUAUCCUUAAGGACAUUGUUAAAGUAUUGAAAUGACAGCAUGGUGAUGAUGGCAAUGGGAAAGGCUCUUGGAAAGCACAUGUUAAGAGGGGUGAAGGUUGUGGGGUGGUUAGGAAUGUUCUUAGGAGACAUUUGUAUAGAGGCCAAAGAGAGGAUGGUGCAGAUGAAGAGAAUGUUAUCUAGAGUUGUAAGGAGCCCAGAAGAAGACAGGAGAACCAAUUCUAAGCUGGCUAGGGAGAUAUUGUGUUACAGGUGCCAGCAUUCUAGAGGUUGGUGACAAGCCUGCAAACCACAUAGGGCCACUGAAAAAGGCAAGUGGAAUCGACUAAUACAUAGCAAGCUCUCUUGGUAAGAUUACACUGUGGGCAUGCCUUUGGUUGGCUGUGCUACUGAGGUACCCCUCUGGAGGAGAUUUGCCACAGACAUCUAGGAAGUGGACCACACUUGAGCAGGGAAUUAAGCUUCUGAGGGAGUUUGCUGUAAAGGAAAUACUUUCUGGAGAUGACGGUAUGCAGAAUCCUGAUGAAAUUCCUGUUGGAAAAUGUCUUUGAAAGAAACUUCUUGACAUUAGAUGGAGGAGCAAGUUUAAUAGUUUGGUAAACAGGUUUGUGUGAGAGAACAACGAUGGAAGACUUCCUACAGUUGGUGAAUUCCCUGACCAAAUGAGGCAGUUAGAGGACAUUUUGUCCCACACUUCUUUAGUGUCUGCUUUAAAAACUCAGGCUGCAGAAAUGAAAGGUAGAAUAAAAAAGAUGGAGGAGGCCCUUAAAAUCUCCAUAUCUAAGUUGGUGAAGGAAAAAGCAUUUCAUCUGGAGAUGAAUCCAGUACCAGUUGAACAGUUUACCUCAGGAGUGGAAACACAGUUGGACAAUGUGUCAUUUGGUCAUCCACAAUGCAUUGGAGAAAGGUAAAGUCCCAGAACAUCUGCAAUUCAUCAAUGACAACAUUGUGUGGGACCAAACUGCUGAGGAAGCCUUUGAGAAAGACGAUUCCUGUCGUCUUGUUGGGAAGAAGCAAAGAUGGAAGUCAGCAGUCUGGAGUCCCGGCAGGAGAGUUACAGAAGUGAGAGAUGGAGAAGGUGAAUCCAGUCAAUUUGCUGAAGUAAAAGCUGUCCAGCUUGCUCUUGAUGUGGCCGAAUGUGAAAACUUGGCUAUCCUUUACCUCUACGCUGACUCGUGGGUGGUAGCCAAUACUCUAUAGGGUUGUCUAAAAGACUGGAAAAAGAACUGGUGGCAGAUGAAUAAAAGUCUAUUUGGUGUGCUGGUCUA